CGCGUUCGCCUUUGACCAGCAAUGACGACGCAACACCAACGCUCUUCUUCUAGCAGUUUAUUCAGGAAAACUUAACAUUCUUUUUCUUCUACCUCUGGGGAGCACCCGUCCCUAGAAUAAGUACCCCUGAACCAACCAAUCACGGAUAGUCAUGUGGCAAAUGCAAAAAAGUACACGUAAGAGGGGGCAGAGCAUCAGACACAUCACAGCCAAAUAAGGAGUUGUUUAUCAUAAAGAGCUCUCGCCGUCGGGAUGGCGGAAGGCGGAAACCAGCGCCAUCUUUAAGGCGUGGCACACGCAGCUCUCCACACACGAAUAGAAAUAAGAUGUCCAAAUCCACUAGAAAAUACAAGUUUCCACUUGUUCUGUGACCACUUACCCACCAAGACAAUGACUGUUCCAAAUGACUCAUUCGUGCCUGAGCAUUAGCGAGUGGCAACCUACAAACUGUUCUCCUGAUGCUGCAACUUUUCGAGUUUCCUCAGCAAA